rnacentral:lncRNA from 1 species
CCUAAAUCUCCCAGGCGUUGAGGGAACAUUUGCUGCAUGGUUCUAUGGUUGACGAAAAAGAAGUACUUAAGGUGUGCUAAGUAAGGUAGUGGCGACACAGAUAUUUAAGGUGUGCUAAAUAAGGUACUGGCGACUACAAAUACAUGAAUAAUUUGAACAGUAUUCUGAUGUUGUCUUUUCUUCACCGGUUGAAUGUAAUUUGCGUCGUUUCCUCCCGUGGUUUGCAGUUUAUUACGAUCUACUUGUGACAAUGUAAAAAUUGUCUUCCCGGACAGAAAGUUGCCUAAUCUUCGUGAGAAAAAGUAGGGUUUCAGGAUGUACGCUGGAUAGUUGCUGCUUCACUGCAUGGACUUUUUCACUCUUUAGAGGUACUAGCUUGCAAAAACGUCUUAUGUUGUGGGACGGAGGGAGUAGAAUAAUAAUGUCAGAAGGACAUUAGAAGACCCAUGUAUUUCUUGGACAUGUGAAAGGCUUGGCAUGGAUUCAACCCAUUCUGGAACAAUGUGCCUAAUAUCACAUUCUGAGGAAGGUUCUUCACUGAACUUGAUUCGAUACCUGUUGCUGAAUAUAGUUGCGGAACUAUGCAGUUUAUUACUACCUACCUGUGACAGUAUAAAGUGGGUGAUCUGGAUAUUACAUAUUUCUCCAAUAGUGUGCUAUGUCGCUCGAUCUGACAAUUCAUUUGAUGAUCUCUGUGCUCUCGAGUCUCGACGACUCCUUUUCUUAUGCCUCUUGUAAUCAAGGUACAAGAUAUGAAAUAU